AAGUUUUCAGACUUUUUACUUCUGGCUUUGGACUAACCAAGUUCAUGUCCCAGUCCAAGACUGCACAAAUCCCACGCAUAAGCUCGUGGCAGCUAUCCCACGCGUAAGCCCAUGGAGGCUAUCCUACGCAUAAGCUCGUAGAGGCUAUCCCACGCGUAAGCCCGUGGAGGCUAUCCCACGCGUAAGCCCGUGGAGGCUAUCCUACGCAUAAGCUCGUAGAGGCUAUCCCACGCGUAAGCCCGUGGAGGCUAUCCCACGCAUCAGCUCGUGGCAGCUAUCCUACGCAUAAGCUCGUAGAGGCUAUCUCAUGACGAGGUUAGUCCAACCC
rnacentral:lncRNA from 1 species